CGGAGGGGAAGAAAAGGCCUGAAGAGUCGAAGGCUUUCGUUUGUGCGUGUUGGAUCAAGAAAAACGAGAAAAUUGACAUUCAGAACCGUCUAACCUUUACCGAGAAACCUUUGAUAAUCAUCUGGAAGUUUGAUAGGUUUUUCCUCUCUUUAUUUACUGGAAUUGCCAAAUGAGUUAUUUUUAACAAACGAGCCAACAUAGGAUUGGAGGCUGUGGCAGACUACAUGGUAACGUGAUUCCACGUGAUGGUUUCCUGUGUUGUGUCUUGCUCGGUGUUGCGGUUGAAACAGAAAUUAUACUGCGCCAGAAGAAUGUGUAAUCGAGAGAGACACAGCAUCCACUCACCAUUAAAAGAACAAACAAAUGUCAGCACAGUGGGACAGUGGUUUUCUCCAGCAUUUCCUGCCGACACGCAGCUUACGCAGAGGAAAAGCGGACGUGACUGAGGACAGGGGAAGGACGCUAAAGCCAUGCCCCCGGACCCCCGAGCAGCCGCGAGAGAAUUCAAGAUCAAUGAAUCCAUGGUUCGCAAGUGGAGGAAGCAGGAAAACGAGCUUCGUUAAGUCAAGAAAUCGAAGCUGAGUCGAAGAAAAACAAAACGCUGAAACAAGGCGAGGUGGAAGACCAACUCGAGCAAUGGAUUAAUGAGCAAAGAAUAACUCGAGGCUUGCCAUCAUUCCAGGAGGCUUGACGAACCGCUGGACAUCGGUGUAAACAGGGCGUUCAAAGUUGAAGUUGCGAGCGGCGUGGAAGCAAAGGAUGACAGAUGGCGAACACAGCUUUCCAAAGACUAGGAGGCAGCGCAGGAUCCAUGGCAUCUUCCCGAGGAGGAGUCGACCUGGCAGGUGCUUACCUACUGCGGUGAUCGCAUCCUUCGAUCCAGAUGGCCUUUCCAUGCAAGACCAACAAAUCAGCCAUCGGAGCAGAAACGACUCCUUUUAUUGAAAAAGAAGGUCAAUACAUGACUUGGGCCCGAUCCGUCGUGAUCCUCCUCGUGUGUUGGAUGGGAGGACUCAUCAGGGAAGGGUGGUAGGGUAUGGUGGGGGGCUUUGGUUGCGAGUGAGGGGUGUUCUUUAUCUGUUUAAAGCCUCUCUCUGAUGAGAUUACGUAUUGGCUGUAAAGCACACUGUUAAUCGGGGUGCAGCAAGCCAACACACUCCCAACUGGCUUGGAGCCACUGUUUUUUAAGUACGGUGGAGCGACCACUUACAUUUUCUUUAGUAAUCAUCUUGGGUACUAACAUAAAAGGUGUACACAUUAAUAUAUCUCAUCUCAAUUUGGCUGGUUUUACAGUGCAAUCACCAUUUUUCAGUGCAAUUCUUCCAUCCAAAUUUUUCAACAUUUCUUUUCCCAUAGGAAAUAAAGAACUUCAUAUCAUCCUUGCCAGAUGCCAACUGACAUCAUAAAGCCAGAUUUUUAGGUAACACUCCUUUUGCAAGUGUAAAAUUAAAUUAACCUUUGUAUAUUACUAAAUGAGGCAUUUAAGGAACUAUAAAAGGGAGGCUUCGUGCAUCAUGGUCAGAGGUGCGUAAAGUAGCGUUACUUUUGAAUAAUAUGACGAAAGUAAAAGUAAAAAAGUAGUCCUCCCAAAAAUUACUUGAGUAAGAGUAAGAAAGUACUCUGUGAAAAAUCUGCCCAAGUACUGUGUAACUCGUGAGUAACUUCUGAUGUAUUUAUUUUUUAAUCAGAGCAUGAACGUCAAAUAAAAACUAAAUAAAAUAUGAAUUUGAAAAUUCAGAUAUUGCAUAACAAUGUAACUUCAUCUAAAAAAUAAUAAAUGAAAUCCUUGUUGCAUGAACUGAAGAAAAGUGUUCUCUGUCAAUUGACUGUCUGUUGUCGUACUAGAGCGGCUCCAACUACCGGAGACAAAUUCCUUGUGUGUUUUUUGGACAUACUUGGCAAAUAAAGAUGAUUCUGAUCUGAUUCUGAUUCUGAAGAAGCCUGCUCGGCUGAGAGGCGAAACGUCUUGUAAGACAAACAGACAAUCCAGUUGCGAUCGAUUCAAUGCCCUGAGAAUGAAAUUACCUGGAUGAAUGAGAAUAUUCAUAGCCAUAAUAAAUAAAAUCUUUGUAAAAUAACAAAUUAAGGCAAAGUCAGCUACAAUAAAUUGUCUUAUGCUAUAUUGGUUCCACUUGUUAAACAGCACAAUACUGUAGGCUCACCAGGCAGAUUCCAAAAACAGGAACAAGACUGCUGUGGAUAUAAAAAAUAAACGCACCCCUUUUCAAAUGCCAGGUUUUUGAGUUGUAAAAGAAUUUUGUCCAAUAUAAAAAAAAAUAAUAAUUUAAAUUCCAACAUUAGUGUGACCGAGAAUUUGUACAACUGAACUGAUUUAUUUUUGUAUCUUUUUGGGAGGGAAGGUGAAAAUAAAAAACUGAAAUAAACUGGAAUGUGAUUGA